AUUGAACGCUGGCGGCAUGCCUUACACAUGCAAGUCGAACGGCAGCGGGGACUUCGGUCCGCCGGCGAGUGGCGAACGGGUGAGUAAUAUAUCGGAACGUACCUUUCAGUGGGGGAUAACGUAGCGAAAGUUACGCUAAUACCGCAUAUUCUGUGAGCAGGAAAGCAGGGGAUCUUCGGACCUUGCGCUGAUUGAGCGGCCGAUAUCAGAUUAGCUAGUUGGUGAGGUAAAGGCUCACCAAGGCGACGAUCUGUAGCGGGUCUGAGAGGAUGAUCCGCCACACUGGAACUGAGACACGGUCCAGACUCCUACGGGAGGCAGCAGUGGGGAAUUUUGGACAAUGGGGGCAACCCUGAUCCAGCCAUGCCGCGUGAGUGAAGAAGGCCUUCGGGUUGUAAAGCUCUUUCGGCCGGGAAGAAAUCGCACGGGUUAAUACCCCGUGUGGAUGACGGUACCGGAAUAAGAAGCACCGGCUAACUACGUGCCAGCCGCCGCCGUAA
rnacentral:rRNA from 1 species